GACGAACGCUGGCGGCGUGCCUAAUACAUGCAAGUAGAACGCUGAAGCGAGGAGCUUGCUCUUCUUGGAUGAGUUGCGAACGGGUGAGUAACGCGUAGGUAACCUGCCUUGUAGCGGGGGAUAACUAUUGGAAACGAUAGCUAAUACCGCAUAACAAUGGAUGACCCAUGUCAUUUAUUUGAAAGGGGCAAAUGCUCCACUACAAGAUGGACCUGCGUUGUAUUAGCUAGUAGGUGAGGUAACGGCUCACCUAGGCGACGAUACAUAGCCGACCUGAGAGGGUGAUCGGCCACACUGGGACUGAGACACGGCCCAGACUCCUACGGGAGGCAGCAGUAGGGAAUCUUCGGCAAUGGGGGCAACCCUGACCGAGCAACGCCGCGUGAGUGAAGGAGGUUUUCGGAUCAUAAAGCUCUGUUGUAAGUCAAGAACGAGUGUGAGAGUGGAAAGUUCACACUGUGACGGUAGCUUACCAGAAAGGGACGGCUAACUACGUG
rnacentral:rRNA from 1 species